ACGGGAGGCAGCAGUGGGGAAUAUUGCACAAUGGGGGAAGCCCUGAUGCAGCAACGCCGCGUGAGUGAAGAAGUAUUUCGGUAUGUAAAGCUCUAUCAGCAGGGAAGAUAAUGACGGUACCUGACUAAGAAGCUUCGGCUAAAUACGUGCCAGCAGCCGCGGUAAUACGUAUGGAGCAAGCGUUAUCCGGAUUUACUUGGUGUAAAGGGUGUGUAGGCGGCAUGGCAAGUCAGAUGUGAAAGACCGGGGCUCAACUCCGGGGCUGCAUUUGAAACUGUCAGGCUGGAGUACAGGAGAGGCAGGCGGAAUUCCUAGUGUAGCGGUGAAAUGCGUAGAUAUUAGGAGGAACACCAGUGGCGAAGGCGGCCUGCUGGACUGUUACUGACGCUGAGGCACGAAAGCGUGGGGAGCAAACAGGAUUAGAUACCCUGGUA
rnacentral:rRNA from 1 species